AUUUUAAUAGAUUUGAAGUGAAACGAACGAAUGUGUCAAACGUUUAUAUUUUAUACAGAAAUCAUUGAGGUUGAAUUAGAGAAAUGGCAGAAGCAGAAGCUCCAAGUGAGGAGAAUAAUGGCGUCGGAAGAGCGUCGUUUA